ACUUCAUGGUUGGGACAUUGCAUAAGCUUCCCAUUAAAUUUCUCCUAUACCUCGUAUAGAGGCUUUCCAUUCAAUUGAUGAAAGUUUGUGAUUUCAUCAUGCAAUU
rfam:Capsicum annuum cultivar Zunla-1 chromosome 12, whole genome shotgun sequence